GAUGAAGAACGUAGCAAAAUGCGAUAAGUAAUGUGAAUUGCAGAAUUCAGUGAAUCAUCGAAUCUUUGAACGCACAUUGCGCCCGCCAGUAUUCUGGCGGGCAUGCCUGUCCGAGCGUCAUUUCAACCCUCGAACCCCUCCGGGGGGUCGGCGUUGGGGAUCGGCACUUACCUGCCGGCCCCGAAAUACAGUGGCGGUCUCGCCGCAGCCUCUCCUGCGCAGUAGUUUGCACACUCGCACCGGGAGCGCGGCGCGUCCACGGCCGUAAAACAACCCAAACUUCUGAAAUGUUGACCUCGGAUCAGGUAGGAAUACCCGCUGAACUUAAGCAUAUCAUAAGCGGAGGA
rnacentral:misc_RNA from 1 species